ACAGAGCAGAAGAGCACAGGAGAGAGGAGUCUGGAAGGCGCCUGUGGCAUGGUCUGGGGAUGUGGCCCACACACCCGGGGAAGUGUGUAGUGCCCUGAGCAGCAAGCAGCAAGGGUGUGACACAUACUUGGUGAAAAGGACAAGUCUCUACUAGGAAGACACUUCUAGAUGCACAACUAGGACUGCAGCUGCUGAAAGAGGUCAGAAGUAUCGGAUUCCCUGGAGCUAGAGUUACAGGUCCAAUUCUGGCAUUGUUGGCUCAAUCGAUACGUGUUUAUUGAACACCCUUGACGGCAGCCCUGGGGUCUCCGGGGGUGCUGGAGACACUGAACAGCAAGAGCACCCUCGGUUCCUGGAAAUCAUAAUUGCUCGUUCUUCUUAUCAGAGGCAGGGCCCCAGUGACCUUCCUCGCUACCCCCCCCCAAGGCAAUGAUGGAGCUACGUAGUGAAAAGCAGAGAGAUGUAUUCGCUUCGCUGUGGCCACAGUGAGAAGGGUGACAAGUAAUGAGGUCCAGGGACCCCCCCCCCCAAUCCAUCUUCAGACUGAGGUUGAGGUUUGAGAGAGAUGCACAGCCAGGUUGUCCCACCGUGUGCUGUGCCGUGUGUCACUGACCCAGACCAGUCUGGGCUCCAGUCUGUCCUGUGUAGAAUUUUUCCCUGACAGACAAGUACCCUCUCUGGCUGUCAGCAGGCUUCAGCUUUUUUUCUUCUCUGAGCAUGAGACUCCUGUCGGAGGGGAUUCCGAUUCCUGGGGGAACCUUUAUCUCAACAGUCUGAUAGCCAAAGGGAUGGGCUCUGUAGAGUCCCUAGAGAGUAUAGGCCAGGAUGGUUUUGUUCUUGCUCCAAGCACAGACCACGCCUGUGAACUCGUUUACUAUUACAGAUGGGGAAACUGAGGCAUGGAGACACCUCUAAGCAACUAAUUAAAGUACAGAGUUGAGAAGGCCAUGAGGAGGGUCCCUCAGAGGUAGUAACUCAUUCAUUCAUUCAUUCAUUCAUUCAAGCUUCAGUCAGCUGUAGUGGAGCAUGCCUAGAGUCCCAGCUGCUCUAGAAAGAUGGAGCAGGAGAACUGUUGGAGCCCAAGAGUUUCAAGUUGGCUUAGGCAACAGAGCAAGACCUGGUCUCUAAAAUAAACAAACUUAAGCAAA
rnacentral:lncRNA from 1 species